rnacentral:rRNA from 1 species
UACGAACCGUCCAACCGUUAUUCGGAAUCACUGGGCUUAAAGGGUUUGUAGGCGGCCACGCAAGUGGGGUGUGAAAUCCCUCGGCUCAACCGAGGAAUUGCGCUCCAAACUGUGUGGCUUGAGGGAGACAGGGGUAAGCGGAACUGAUGGUGGAGCGGUGAAAUGCGUUGAUAUCAUCAGGAACACCGGUGGCGAAAGCGGCUUACUGGGUCUCUUCUGACGCUGAAAAACGAAAGCUAGGGUAGCGAACGGG